rnacentral:rRNA from 1 species
CCUUUCCCUCGUCUGCCGCCGCCGCCACCGCCGGCGCCCAGGUGUGGCGCUGCUCUUCCCCACGGCCCUGACGGCAAGGUGGCGAAAAGGACGAGAUCCACCCGGACGAGGUUGAUGCGCCCCCUGCCACACUUCCUUCUCCAUCGCGUCACCAUAUUCGGAGGAACCAUGGCUGCUGCUCACGCAUCUGCUUUCCGCUCCUCCCGGAGUUGUCGCCAUCGGUAUGAGGGAGUGCCGGACCGCGCGCUAACUCGAGGACCGCCGCUCCGGCGGCCCGUUGUUUCUAGCCGUCGUCCGCCUCGUUGGCCCUCUUCCUGGCUUGCCCUCUAGUGCCCCAUCCAUUCGCUACCAGUCAGGCACCAGGGUAAAGCGAAGAAAAUUGUUUCAGCACAGUCCAUCUGGUUUGACAUUUUGAAGGCACAAAUAGAAACAAGAAAACCAUAUAUGAUAUAUAAGCUUCAGGUUGCCGGCACCUAGGAGGGACGGGAUAGCAAAAUCGGUGCUCAUCGAAGAUGGCGUUGAUGCCCCUUACGGCCUUACCCGACAACACAGUUCUACGGAAGCUUCUUCUAAGUGCCAAGUAAAUUUCCUUUUACAUGGAUAAUUAUGGUGAGUUGAUAGUUAAUUAUCUUACUUUUGCUCAUCAUGACCAGCGUAUACCAAGACACUUCUUCGUACGUGAUGGAUACACACGCACAGAGUGAGCUUUUCUCUGCGGUUCUGGUGACCUGCGCACAGGGUCUCCGUUCCAUGGUGUUGCCAACAAGCAAGAUGUGGAGACCUAUCAUGAGCCUCUCCUUUCACAUCAGAUUGUGUUCCAUCGAAAAAGCUUGGGUAUUCUUAUUCCAUCAAUUUUGGGAUGAUUGUCAAAAUCCCAGGAUAUGAUUUAGAACCUAACAUUAUAUCUUACUGUAUGAUACGACUGUCUAAUACUCAUAUUGUGAGGGACACGGGAAGAGUAGGUCGCUGGCGAUGAAAGCAUGUG